CCAGACUCCUACGGGAGGCAGCAGUGGGGGAUAUUGCACAAUGGGGGGAACCUUGAUGCAGCAACGCCGCGUGGGUGAAGAAGUACUCCGGUAUGUAAAGCCCUGUCAGCAGGGAAGAAAAUGACGGUACCUGACCAAGAAGCCCCGGCUAACUACGUGCCAGCAGCCGCGGUAAUACGUAGGGGGCAAGCGUUAUCCGGAUUUACUGGGUGUAAAGGGAGCGUAGACGGCAAGGCAAGUCUGGAGUGAAAGCCCGUGGCCCAACCGCGGAACUGCAUUUGAAACUGUUUUUCUUGAGUACCGGAGAGGUCAUCGGAAUUCCUUGUGUAGCGGUGAAAUGCUUAGAUAUAAGGAAGAACACCAGUGGCGAAGGCGGAUGACUGGACGGCAACUGACGGUGAGGCGCGAAAGCGUGGGGAGCAAACAGGAUUAGAUACCCCCGUAC
rnacentral:rRNA from 1 species